rnacentral:rRNA from 1 species
AUUGAACGCUGGCGGCAUGCCUUACACAUGCAAGUCGAACGGCAGCACGGGUGCUUGCACCUGGUGGCGAGUGGCGAACGGGUGAGUAAUACAUCGGAACGUACCUUAUCGUGGGGGAUAACGCAGCGAAAGUUGCGCUAAUACCGCAUACGCCCUGAGGGGGAAAGCGGGGGACCGUAAGGCCUCGCGCGAUUAGAGCGGCCGAUGUCUGAUUAGCUUGUUGGUGAGGUAAGAGCUCACCAAGGCGAUGAUCAGUAGCUGGUCUGAGAGGACGAUCAGCCACACUGGGACUGAGACACGGCCCAGACGCCUACGGGAGGCAGAAGUGGGGAAUUUUGGACAAUGGGGGAAACCCUGAUCCAGCAAGGCCGCGUGAAUGAAGAAGGCCUUCGGGUUGUAAAGCUCUUUUGUCAGGGAAGAAACAGCAGCUCUAACACAGUCUGCGAAUGACGGUACCUGAAGAAUAAGCACCGGCUAACUACGUGCCAGCCGCCGCGGUAA